UCGCGCUUCAUCGCACCACCGGUUUUCUCUUGCACUUCAUCGCACCACCGUUUCAAAACCUAAAGGAUGUUGCAGCUUUCGCAAAACAUCUAAAUUUCAUUCUCGUUCUCUGACCACAACCAUUUCUAUGUGAAUCACUUUUUCUCAUAAGCGCUUAAUCUCACUCGCUCUCGUUCUCUGAUUCGCAAUACAUCUAUCCGAUCUUCCCUAAUCGUUGUAUUUUUUCCGAUCUAUAUCAUCACUCUCCAUUUUGCUUAUUCUAAAGAAUUGACAGUGCCUAACACUAUCACUUAUUUGUACUUGAUUUUUAGGGUUCCUGUUUCAACGGUGUCUCGCGAGGCAAUCUCCAUGAUAGUAAGUGAAGAAUUAUCGUCGAUGAAGGUGUAGGUGUGAAAUUUCCAAUUUAUAUAUUUCUCAGUCCGUUUUCUUUUGUUAGAUUGAUCAAUUUGAUUUCUGUUCUUUGAUAUUUGACUGAUAGAAUAUAUAAUUUUUUAAUGUAGAAUUUGAGAGAAUAUUUGACUUGAAGAUUGCAAGUGAGAGAAUCUCAAGAGUUUUUUGACAAUUCAAAAGUAUUCUCACAUCAUUGGUGGAGAGGUUUGUAUUGUUCUCUAGAGUUGGUCUAGUGAAAAUACCAAGAUUUUUCUUUAUUGUUCUCUAGAACUGUCUAAGUAUUGAUUUGAACAUAGGAAGUUCCUAUGAUAGACUUGGGAAGUAUUAAAGACUAAGGACAUUGUAUAGGGUUGGUAACUUAUAGAGACUAGAGUAGAGUUAUUGAUAGCGGCCGCUAUCGGCGCUAUCCCGAGAUAUCGGUCCGGAGUGGUGACCCUCCGCUAUUUGAUGUUUAGCGGCCGCUAUUUGAUGGUUUCAGCCUAGUAAGAGGAAGAUCUAAUAAUUCAAUGGUGGACUAUCAUGCUGCCACUCGAUAAAUAAUUGGUCACCACACUUCCAAUAAUUGUUCCUUAGUAAUCAUUUAUAAAUCUGAUUAGAAGUCAUAAUUUAUCCUCUGGAUGCUUGCUUGUGGUUUUCUUUUUAAGGUCCUGUGAAUCAUGUACGUAUCCAUUAUGUUAGAUUAAGUUUGAACAUCUAUUUUAACAUUUCAGAGCAUUGCGGAAGCUUCUGUUCAUUUGCCUACAUCAGUAGAUCAGAAAGUUGUUGAAGGUCCUGUGGUUUUUAUGUUGCUUACAAUUUGUGCUAAGCUUGUAUUAUAUAAGUAUCUUUCAUUACCUAUGUAGCCCAGAAACUUCAAUGUAGUGUUCGAUACAGCUGCAAUGUUUUAGUAUUAGUAUCAUUUUCGGUGUCCGUGUUUUCUAAGUUACUACUACUCUGACUUAUGGUUGUGAAUGUGAAUUUCUUUGUUGACAGUUUGGAAUUAGAGAGUAUAGUAAUCAGAGAGACUGUGAUUCCUGAACCAGAUUACACGAUUCCAGUGAAGCUGGCGGGUAGGCUUACACAGAUAAUCUAGUGCCUGCUGUACAUGUUAGUCUCCUUGGAUUGCUUUUGUUAUUCCAGGUGAUUAUUAGAAGAUAGUGUAAUUAAGAAAGGUGCAAACUAGCUUGAUGAUCCAAGUACCCUUUUUAAAAGUGGCUAGACCAAUAUUUUGAAGUCUAAUUUCUCAUUGACUGCGUGAAUGCAGCUAUAGUUUCCAACUGCAGUGAAAUAGUUAACUGCAGCUUAAUUUGUUAACUGCAAGCUUGUAUCCUAUGGUUCUCAAUGAUGUUAGCUGUAGUUUUGAUUUAUUGUAUGUCCAACAAUAGUAAAAGUUAAAGAAGUAUCCUCAUGUUCUAGUUAAAUGCAUGUCUUGGUUUGUUGAUAUAUAUGAUUAAGUGUUUCAAUCAUGAUUUUAAUUUCUGAUUUUUCUCCAGAUAUUAUGAAGGAGAUUUUUAGUUCUUGGCCUGAGGUUAGAUGUAUCAAAAAAACACAUCAAAAACAUAACGUGGGGUUAUGUCAUAAUUAACGCUUAUCAUACAAGGGCAUUAUCUUCAUUUAUAUUUUCUUUCCAGACAGACACGCUCGCAUUCCAUCCCAGACAGAGUCACCGUUUCUUUCUUGUUGAGUGAUCCCAAGAGCCUCUCAAAAACUCCAACUUUGCAACACGAUCAUUGCACAAAUCAUGGAUUCUACAUAGAAUAAUUAUUGUGCAUUGGAUUCUGGUUGAAGGAUUGAAGUUGGAUUGUGAGUAGAGGAGGAUGGGUUGUUGGGAAUGUGUUUUGAAGAUUUGGAACAGCUUACUGACCAUUACUGGUCUAGCAAUGGUUGGAUACGGGAUUUAUCUGCUUGUUCAUUUCGGUAAAGCUCCGGAUAACUCACUGAUUGUUGCUAGUGUUAGUGAUGAUCAAACUUAUGUUUUACUUGGCCGACCGAUGCUUAUGGCUUUGCCUCUUUCCAAAAACUUUUUUGAUGAUUUGCCCAGGGCCUGGUAUGAAUGUUGAUCCCCCUCUCUUGCUUGUUUUCAAUUUUCUUUAGAAUAGUAUCUUUGAUCAUGUAGAGAGAAGACAUGUAGAUUAUGUAGUAGGAAGAGUAGAUCAAAUAGAGAGAAGUCAAACAACUAGUGGUAGAGAAGUUAUAAAGAAAAAUCCCAGGAUUAACGAUUUGGAUAGAAACAUGGUUUUAUAUAAAACAUUAUGGCGAAAGUUGAUCCAUGUAACCGAACCCACUUAGUGGGAUAAGACUGGAUCGUUGUUGUUGUUGUAGUAUCUCUGAUUGAAGUCUAGGCAUUUGAAAGUAAAAAACUAUUCAACUUACUUUGGAAAAAAUAAUGAGUAAAAUUCAUUUAGGUACAACUACCAUUAUGAGUAACAAUAACAUGACAUGUAAUAUAAGGUUUCUAUUGUCAGUAGCUAUGUGUAGACCUGCCAAUGCCGAUUGAUCGUAUUUAUGUGAUAGUUAGAAGCAUGCUUCAUUAUUUGGUGUAAUCAAUGAAUUACUUUUUUUUGCUAGUGUUGAUGAAACAAACUUAAAAUGAAAUUUAUUUACUAUCCACAUCACACACCAGGUGUGAGUUAGAAAUUACCUCUAUUUCUUCAACGUGUAGUUAUUUUCAGACCUACUAGUGAUAUCUAUUUAAUUGUUGCUAGUGUUGAUGAAACAAACUUAAAAUGAAAUUUAUUUACUAUCCACAUCACUACAUUGAAGCUUGUAAAUCGAAUUGUGGAAGCACUUAUUACUCGUGAGACAUGAACUGUCUUUAUCAAAGAUAAAAAGUUCAAACUGCAGUGCAUAUGGGUGUCAGAGGAUAUAUUACAUCAGUGGUGGACGAGAUAUUACAAGUUGAUCCAACUUUAUUGAAAGAGUGCGAUAAGAAGGGUAAUACAACUCAUCAUAUGGCCACAAGGAAAGGCCAGUCAUAGGUUAAACUCAAUUUGUUGAACGAUUUUCUCUCUAUUUGUAUUUUUGCCGCCUUUUACUGGAAAAUGGUUCCUUUGACAGAUUAAAUAUAAAUCUGGUUCAAUAUAAAUCUGAUUAAAUAUAUGAAUAGUAAAAAGUAUUAUUACAUGUAUUGACUCUGCAGUAAUCAUAUUUUCCUAGUAAAUAGAGUAUCGUACAAAGUGAAAAAUUUCAAGUGUUUCUUAUAUGGUAACCUGUAGAGGCUUUAGGUUUUUUGUGUUUUAGUUAGGUUCUGCAGUGUUACAGUUUUACUACAGAGUGGUAACAUAAAGCUACUUUUGGAUGCUUAAUCCUCCAAUGGUAGAAUUAGAAGACAAAGAGUAUCAAAUUCUUUGACAUAACAUAAGUACAUCACUGAUGCAACUGUUUUUAGACUCAUAAGUUAUGGAUACACACGUGGAUAAAGGCAAAGCUGGUUUUCAACAUGCAUAAAUAUAAAUUAAGAAGUAUAAAAGAAUAAGAUGUGGGCACCAGAUUGACAACAGUUGAAAAUUGCAUGUUAGAACUGAUUUCUUGAAUUAACAAGUGGGUUGACUUAUUUUCAUUCAUUACUUUCAUAUUUUAUGAUUUUAUAGGUGACGAUUGAGUCAAGGGUCCUGCACUUUGUGAUCUUCCAGGACUUUUCCUUCAUCAAAUGUGAAACCGCCAAAAUCUCAGGUGUAACCUUUGUCACUUUUUCAAUAGGAUCAUUCAUUAUCCUUCUAAAUCUCAAACCUUUUUAAUCCUAUAUCUAGUUUUUAUGAUCUAUGAUGUUACAUUUGUGUUAAGUAAUAGGUCAGGAAUAUUUUCGCUGCUUUUGCCAACUUUCCUAACAGAAUUCGGUUGCGCCAACCUGCCGGUACUAUAUUUUGCGAGCCCAUAAUAUGUCGCAAUCUACCCAAAAUUAUUCUCGGGAAUGUCUUAAUUGUAUUUUGAUUCUUAAUGAAGUUGAAAUAUUGCAGAGCACCAAUUGAAGCUUACUUUCAAUUUACAAGAUGGAAAGAUCCAUUUGUAAUGGAAUGCAUACUUUUGGUGAGGCAGUCUUUAACCCGUAUGAUACUCAUUAGAUAUAAAUACUUUGUUGUUAGUUGUUUCGUUAAAUCUGAUGUAAUGUCGAACAUGCUUCAAUGUGAGUAGUUUCAAUUGUCAAGUGAGAUAAUCAAAUGUGAGAAAUUUCAAUUGAAGAGUGAGAUAAUCAAAUGUGAAUAGUCUAAUCUAGUUCAAAUCUAAUUUUUGGAACCAUAGUUAUAAUUUGUGAAGUUGAAAUAAAAUAGAAUAUGAUUUUGAUGUAUUUUAGUUUUGUGAAUAAUAUUAUAAAAUUAUUAAUUUUUAACAAUGUUUACGAAUGAUUAUUUACAAUCUAGUAUAACUACUGUUGAGUAGAAUUAAUUAUACAAAAAUUUGAUCCAGGGUAAUUUGUU